AUAUAUAUAUAUUUAGAUAAUUUUAAAUUUUAGAAUGUUAUAUUUUUUUUUAUAAAUUAUAACAUGCAUUAAAUUCAGAAUUUUUAUGUAUAUCGUUCUACUAUAUGUUGAAUAGGUGAAAGGAACAAAAACAGAAAGAGAAAUUUGGCAGAGGUGUAUGAAAAUUCUGAAUUAAAAGCGUUGGAAAACGAAAGUAACAGUUUGGAAAAGGUAGAGAGCGAAAGCCAAAAUUUGGAAAUAGUGGUGAACGAAAGUAAAAAUUUAAAAAAGGAAGUUAGAAGAAAAAAAACAAGUUGCUAUUCGUGCUAUGGUAAAUUUUGUAAACGUUGUACCCUUAUGGAACCGUUUAUAACCUUUUACGAAACAGAACAAAAUAUAACAUUGGAACUUAUAAUAUAUACAUUGGCUGGUUGUACAUUGCAAUUAAAUUUUAAUAUAAUAAAAAAUUUAAUUGAUAAAAAAAUACCAUAUAAAGCAAAAACAUAU